GACGAACGCUGGCGGCGUGCUUAACACAUGCAAGUCGAACGGAAAGGCCCUGCUUUUGUGGGGUGCUCGAGUGGCGAACGGGUGAGUAACACGUGAGUAACCUGCCCUUGACUUUGGGAUAACUUCAGGAAACUGGGGCUAAUACCGGGUAGGAGCUCCUGCUGCAUGGUGGGGGUUGGAAAGUUUCGGCGGUUGGGGAUGGACUCGCGGCUUAUCGGCUUGUUGGUGGGGUAGUGGCUUACCAAGGCUUUGACGGGUAGCCGGCCUGAGAGGGUGACCGGCCACAUUGGGACUGAGAUACGGCCCAGACUCCUACGGGAGGCAGCAGUGGGGAAUAUUGCACAAUGGGCGGAAGCCUGAUGCAGCAACGCCGCGUGCGGGAUGACGGCCUUCGGGUUGUAAACCGCUUUCGCCUGUGACGAAGCGUGAGUGACGGUAAUGGGUAAAGAAGCACCGGCUAACUACGUG
rnacentral:rRNA from 1 species